rnacentral:rRNA from 1 species
GAUGAACGCUGGCGGCGUGCCUAAUACAUGCAAGUCGAGCGAACAGACGAGGAGCUUGCUCCUUUGACGUUAGCGGCGGACGGGUGAGUAACACGUUGGUAACCUACCUAUAAGCCUGGGAUCACUUCGGGAAACCGGAGCUCAUACCGUAUAAUAUUUCGAACCGCAUUGUUCGAUAGUGAAAGAUUGCUAUGCUCUCCCUUAUAGCUGGACCUGCGCCGUAUUAGCUAGUUGGUAAGGUAACGGCUUACCAAGGCAACGAUACGUAGCCGACCUGAGAGGGGGAUCGGCCACACGGGAACUGGGACACGGUCCAGACUCCUACGGGAGGCAGCAGUAGGGAAUCUUCCGCAAUGGGCGAAAGCCUGACGGAGCAACGCGGCGUGAGUGAUGAAGGUCUUCGGAUCGUAAAACUCUGUUAUUAGGGAAGAACAAACGUGUAAGUAACUGUGCACGUCUUGACGGUACCUAAUCAGAAAGCCACGGCUAACUACGUG